GGAGAGGUACCGAAGAGGUCAUAACGGGGGCGACUCGAAAUCGCCUUGCCCCUUAAAGGGGCACGUGGGUUCGAAUCCCACCCUCUCCGCCA
rnacentral:tRNA from 1 species